rnacentral:lncRNA from 1 species
GAGCACGGAUUUCAAAGCAUGAAUAAUGACGAGUACAGAUUUCAAAGCAUGGGAUAAUGACAAAAGUUUUAUAAUGCAUAGCCAUGUUUAUGAAGUUGCAUAAAUGGACAUGCAUAGUUUUAUGACUGGUUUGUUAUAUGAAAUGCUUACUUUGUUACAACUGUUAGUUUCUUAAAUUAAUGCACUAGUAUGAGAAAAUAUUAUGAUUGAUCAGAUAAGAUUAUGCAUGGUUACUUACUGAGCUUUAUAGCUCAUACCCAUUUAUUUAUGUUCUUACAGAUGAAUAGGAGAUGCUAGGAACGAGGAGCGUGACAUGCUUCAGGGUUAUGGGGAAAAGAAAAUGACACAUUAAAUGUUUCUAUUUUUAGAUGCUUUGUAAUCAAUUUUUUAUUGAUGAAACAUUUGUUAACAUUCAAGAAAGAAAUUGUUCAUAAUUGAUUUAAAGUUUUAAAGUGGCUGCGUGUUAUUGCGGGUAAGGGUUCGCAAUAGCACGGCCUGUCAUGAACCGAAUUUGGGGCGUGACAUUUAGUGGUAUCAGAGCAAUAAGUUUAACCAUGAUUUAAAUACUUUUAAAAUUAAUCAUGGGAAUGGGUAGCUAAGUUAGCUUUCACAUAAUUGGAGUCACAGUAAGAUUGUAAUAACCCCCAAUUUUUUUUUUAUAUAUAAAAAGGGAUAGAAUAGUCCUUUAAAAUUGAUAUAAGGGGUAAAAUUGGAAGAAAUCAAAAGAUAAUGGCAUAGUUGUAGAUGCAUUGAAGUGGUAAGGGUAAAAUUGGAAGGAAUCAAAAGUUAAUGGCAUAACGGUAGAUAUGUUGAAGUGUUAGGGGCAAAAUGGGAAUUUAAUAAUAUUAAACAAAAGGGUGAAUAGUAUCUUGAUGUGAUUUAAUUGGAGGGUUUGCUGUAGCUUUGGAAUGAAACCGAGAGACAGAGAGGGGGGGGUUCUCAGACGGCAACAGAGAGGAAAAAAAAAAGAAGGAGAGGAAAGGAAAGGAAGAAAGGAAGAGGAAGAAGAAGAAGAAAAAGAAAAGGAAGGAGAUCCCGGUUGCGCUGCCAGUUGAAGGAAAAAACGUAGAUCUCCUUCCCCUCUACGCAAGGACCUCGAUUUCCAAAAAGAAAAAGGUAAAUAUCCAUCCCUAUCUAGUUUUUUGAUGACAUUAGGCUAUACAAAGGGUGGAUAUAGUCUAGAGGGGUCGGAUAAGGGUUGUAGAGGUGGUUAAAAGAAGAAGAAUCGGAUUUUGACAAAUUUUUCCGGCACUACGGAAAAACUGUGUCGAAGUCCCAACUUCGGCAAA